rnacentral:lncRNA from 1 species
AGCUGAUAUUGACUGUCUUUUGCUUCAUUAGUUUCUUUCACCAUAUACUAUGUCUUAGGGCAAGGGAGGGAAUUAUAAGGCCAUUAUAAGGAUCAUAACUAUUGCUGGCAAUAAAACAUAUAAGGAUGAAUUCAGAAAAUAAUUCCCUGUGGGUACAAUAGGCAAAUAAAGUUGAUUUUUUUGGUGACUUUCAUGUCUUUCUCUACAAGUGAGGAUGUGGUUGUGAAUACCCUAGACCUUUCAAAGAAGGUAGCACCUUUUUCUACCAAGUAAUUUUGUCCUGCCAUUUCUCUAGACUUUCUUGCCAUCUGGCCUCUUGAUCGGAGACGAAACUAGAAAACAAUUCAGAUAUCUAGAAAAUGCAGACCAACAAUAUGGAUAUACCAAUGUGCAGUGACCAUGACUAGUUCUAGAUUUGGUGCCCUUUUUUUUGCACAAAUCGCUUUCUGUGCAAAUGUUGGAUUCUUCAGCUUCUAACGUGAAAGUACUUUUUUGUCCAGGUAAUGCAGAGAGAUGGGAGUUUGCAUGGGAAGUCCUCUUCCUAGGAUCACAAAGGCAUAAAGAAGGGCAGCUGGCUCUCGAUCCCCACCACCACUAUGUAGUUCUCAGUGUCUCUGGGUGACGCUGCUUUACUCAAACAGAGUGGCUGAUCUGCGGCGUGGAAAUUGAAUACCUGGACAUCAAGUUAUUGAAAAGAAGAAUGUGAGAAUGAAACAGACAACACGGAUAAAACUGUAAAAACAAACAAAAACAAAAAGCUUCAAAAGAGCAUUGAUUUUAUGUAAGACCUUUACAAUUCGGUUUCACGGGAUGAAGGUUGUCAAUAUUAGGAUAAUCAUUGGAUGGGUGACUCUUCAUUUGGUCUGUGCUUGGUCAGCCAGACAGUGAGGCUGGAUGGCAGCCAGUAAAUCUAAACCUUUGGAUUCAGCUUAUUUAUUUAUUUAUUUUUUUUUAUUUUUUUUUUUUGAGUGCUAGUCUUACAAAAUUAGAUUUUUAUCGUGAAAUGAAAAAUUGAUGAUAGGGAAAAAAAGAGAUGGUAUACAAUCGAUCUUCUCCUUUCAAAAGAAAAUCUUUUCUUUCAAGUGAUUUAUGUAAGUGUGAAAAAAAAUAGCAAAACCCCUUAUUAUUUUAGUAAAAAUAAUGUGUGAAAAAGCAAGGAGAC